rnacentral:rRNA from 1 species
AGUGAACGCUGGCGGUAGGCCUAACACAUGCAAGUCGAACGGCAGCACAGUAAGAGCUUGCUCUUACGGGUGGCGAGUGGCGGACGGGUGAGGAAUACAUCGGAAUCUACUUUUUCGUGGGGGAUAACGUAGGGAAACUUACGCUAAUACCGCAUACGACCUACGGGUGAAAGCAGGGGAUCUUCGGACCUUGCGCGAUUGAAUGAGCCGAUGUCGGAUUAGAUAGUUGGCGGGGUAAAGGCCCACCAAGGCGACGAUCCGUAGCUGGUCUGAGAGGAUGAUCAGCCACCCUGGAACUGAGACACGGUCCAGACUCCUACGGGAGGCAGCAGUGGGGAAUAUUGGACAAUGGGCGCAAGCCUGAUCCAGCCAUACCGCGUGGGUGAAGAAGGCCUUCGGGUUGUAAAGCCAUUUUGUUGGGAAAGAAAAGCAGCAGGUUAAUACCCCGCUGUUCUGACGGUACCCAAAGAAUAAGCACCGGCUAACUUCGUG